AUGACAGAUUUUUGAAUAUUCCUAUUCAUGUGCAGUGAUUGCUUUGUAUGCAUCUUGUUUCUUACAAUGCGCCCUUAUUUAUGAACAGUGCUGUGUGGUAACUGAUUACAUGUAAUCUGGAUUAUGUAGUCAGGUUACAAAAAUUAAGUACUUGUAAUUAGAUUACACUACAUUUUAAAAUUGUAAUCAGAUUAGUUACUUUUUUUCACUGAUUACAUGAUUAUAUAUUAUUCACAUGGUCAUAUUCAAACAGGUAGAAUAUUUCAUAUUACUUUUUAAUUAAGUGUUUUAUUUUGAUGGAAAGAUUUAUUUUAAUUUAACAUUUUUAUGAUUUAAUUAGCUAAUUGUUAUUAGCUUUUCAUUAAAUUCUCCCAGUUUGGGAAACUUUGACGUAUUAUAAUGUUUAAUGCACUUCAUGUUAAUAACAACAAAUAGAAUAUUUGGAUUUUUAUAUCAAUGUGGUACAAGAUUAUGUUUAAAUCAAUGUGAUGAACAAGUUAAGUAAAAAGUAAUCUGCUUAUAUCACCUGAAAUGUGAAAUGUAAUGGAUUACGUUACUAACUACAAUUUGUAAGUAAUUUGUCUAUUUUAAAAAUGUCAAUCUCUACACGGGAUCGUCCUUCAGCGACUGUCCCGCUCAGAAAAACACGUCCGGUUUGUUUGGAGUCGAACUGUCGCCCAUCUCACGCUGUGAGUGAGUGUGUCUUUCCAAUUUUCAUCAUGUGAUUUUCUGCCUUCCUGCAGGGCCUUGCUGCUGUACAUGGCUUAUUGUGCACAAUACCUUGACACAAACUUCCUCUUUUAAGUACAGAGUUCAGACUUCAGAAGACGUGCAGUGUUUAUGUGAGUGUAUAUCUCAUUUCUUCUAGUGACCUUGGGCACAGCGACACGGGCGAGUUCUGAAGCUUCGAUUUGACACGUCAAGAUGUUGCGGUAAAGGUGGAAUGCAAGAUAAUUUUGGGUUUUUUGCCCUCCUCGGAGCAAACUGAAGUAAGGAAAUGUGGCAGAGUCCUUCUCCAGAGAUUACAGAUGGCGAUAAUCCCGAGUGCACCUUUAAAGAGAAGAGAGAAACAACGAAAGAAGUUGCUGAUGGAAGUGAAAAAGGAAGAAUUGUUUCAGCAGAAACAUCAAUCAAAUGAAGCCACAGAUAGACCUUUUGAUGCACAAAACUGGAAAGCUCUUGUUAAAAUCUCUGGAUCUGGCAAAGUUUGACAGAAACUGUUUGGAUAGCCUUUACACUGGAUUCAGAUGGCUGGCGAAGUUGAAGAAGCAUUCGUAACUUUGACAGAAAAGACGCAGAGCAUCUUUGAAAUCACAUCAAACGGGAGACUUUUCAGACAUGCACUCCACUUCACCUCAACGCCAGGCACGAGUCAAACAAGCGUGGAAACAGUACAGAUGACGAGGAGCUUCAGUAGAACAUGGAGGUUUUUCACUGAGAGUGUCGCAGUGCAUUCUGGGAUUGCCUUCUGUGCAAAGGAUACACGCAGCACUGCCUUGGAUUUUGACCGAAAUGAGUAAGGGGGCGUUUGACACCAGCGUAGGUGAAGAACUCUCCCCGCUGUGCUCCAUUUGGUGCCGUCCUUCACCUCGGCCACUGACCGGACGGCCAUCGACCCGCAUGGCUCCUCACGGACGGCCAACAAAUGCUGCCACAAAUGGAUCUAAUUGGCACCUCUGCAUGCCCCGUCCAGAGGAGGGCAGAGAUCAGCUCAAGAAGAGACUCGUUUCAUUUAAAAAACCUACUGAUGGACUCCUGAUGACACUCAACAUGAAAAUCUAUUAACUGGUUAGCCGACUUUUUUGAGUGACAGAUCAUGAAGCUGUCAUUUUCCCACCAAAAUGGUGUCACUUCCUGGAGCAUCAUUGUGAUUCCAAGAAAGAAUCCACAUCUGAGACAAAGUAGAUAAUGAAACAUAACCGAGACCUUCGCUCCGAGCAAUACGCCGUUCCUCUGGGAAGCAGCAGCAAUCGCUAUCAAUACGACACACAAACAUGCCAAUUAACAUGAAUUUUCCUAACUGGUUUGGACAUCAAAGACUCGAUACUAUCACUGGGACAAAAUAAAGCACUUAGGGUCAGCGGUGAUGCAAAUUGUCUUUUUUCCCUUCAAUGGCUCGCUAUCGCAUGCCUCCAGUAGCUUUCUUUUCUUACAGAGGAGCAAUUAGAGAUAAUGCUUUAUUUAAACUGUGUAUAUACAAAGCUCUUGUUAAUGUGGCGGCCCUGAAGAGGGGCGUUUGGACGGCUGAAUGUCAGGUCGAGGCGAGGAGGGGUCGAAUUAGAGCUUAUCACGCUCAUCUGCGUGUAGCACGGGAGGGUUUGGCCCGAUCCUGAGCAGAUAAUGAGGGAAGAAGGCCGUACGGAGCACAUCAAACGGGACGCUGGCGACUGGCGGACCCAGAGGACUGGAGAAGCCCAGCCGCCCACCCAAAAUGAGUGUUUGUACUCGCAUGACCCAGGGAGAGAUCGCUUCGCAAAAAACAAACACACGCUUUGUCUGAAGGAGAAUGGGUUUAGUUGGAAAAGUGCUGCUGCUGUGAAGAGUAAACCACACUGACGGAUCUCAGACUGUGACAGAGACAGGACAGAAUGACAAAUCAAAGUCUUUCAUUAAAUAUAACAUCAGUAGAAUUGCACUAUUAUUAAAUAAAUACAAAUAAACGUUUUCUAGCUCUUGUUUUAGUAAACUUAGCAUUGUAUACUACGAAUAGUUAUAUAGGAGUACAUUUGAGACGUGUACAGUUGAAACACCUUAAAUACUGUAACUUGCGUACACAAGAACCCCGAGCUGUGAUUCUUGCUCCACACAUGUGUAUUAGUGUUCUCUUUGAUCGUGGGAAAUUUGAAAUGGGUGCAUCUUUCCACUCUGAACAUAUCGGCAAAAGGUGAGAUUUUCAUUUCACCAUGUCCCUUCCACAAUGAAUAGCUUAUUAUUCUUUUAUGAUUGUUAAACUUAACAUAUAUGAUUG